UACGGGGGGAGCAAGCGUUGUUCGGAUUUACUGGGCGUAAAGGGCGCGUAGGCGGCCACCGCAAGUCAAUUGUGAAAUCUCCGGGCUUAACUCGGAAAGGUCAACUGAUACUGCGGGGCUAGAGUGCGGAAGGGGCAACUGGAAUUCUCGGUGUAGCGGUGAAAUGCGUAGAUAUCAGGAAGAACACCCGUGGCGAAGGCGGCUCUCUGGGACGGUACUGACGCUGAGACGCGAAAGCGUGGGGAGCGAACAGG
rnacentral:rRNA from 1 species